GAGAAACGGCUACCACAUCUAAGGAAGGCAGCAGGCGCGCAAAUUACCCAAUCCUAAUACAGGGAGGUAGUGACAAGAAAUAACAAUACAGGACUUUUUGGUUUUGUAAUUGGAAUGAGUUAAGUAUAAACCCCUUUACAAGUAUCAAUUGGAGGGCAAGUCUGGUGCCAGCAGCCGCGGUAAUUCCAGCUCCAAUAGCGUAUAUUAAAGUUGUUGCAGUUAAAAAGCUCGUAGUUGGAUUUCUGUUAAUAAUUUAUAUAAAAUAUUUUAAUUAAUAUUUAUAUAAUAUUAACAUAAUUCAUAUUACUAUAAUUAUUUUUUAGUAUAUGAAAUUUUAC
rnacentral:rRNA from 1 species